UGCAGAAUAAAUACAACUUUCUACCCAGAUAAACUCUCAAAAAUUAAAACACAAAACAAAACCUCUCAAUUAAAAUUUCCAAUUAAAAUUAAACUAAAAAAAAGAAUACAUUGCUCUCAUGAACUCAUACUAAAGAAAAAUAUUGCUCUCAUAAAUAAAAAAGAAAAACUAAACUCAAAUAGAAAACUAAAAAAAAAUUACAAUGCUCUGUUUUCAAAGCAUUCUCUCUUUCUCUCCCAAACCGAG
rnacentral:lncRNA from 1 species